GAACUGUAGAGUUUGAUCCUGGCUCAGAUUGAACGCUGGCGGAAUGCUUUACACAUGCAAGUCGAACGGUAGCAGGGGCUUCGGCCCGCUGACGAGUGGCGAACGGGUGAGUAAUACAUCGGAACGUGCCUAGACGUGGGGGAUAGCCCGGCGAAAGCCGGAUUAAUACCGCAUACGAUCUUUGGAUGAAAGCGGGGGAUCGCAAGACCUCGCGCGUUUAGAGCGGCCGAUGGCAGAUUAGGUAGUUGGUGGGGUAAAGGCUCACCAAGCCAACGAUCUGUAGCUGGUCUGAGAGGACGACCAGCCACACUGGGACUGAGACACGGCCCAGACUCCUACGGGAGGCAGCAGUGGGGAAUAUUGGACAAUGGGGGCAACCCUGAUCCAGCAAUGCCGCGUGGGUGAAGAAGGCCUUCGGGUUGUAAAGCCCUUUUGUACGGGAAGAAAAGCUAUCGGUUAAUACCCGGUGGUCAUGACGGUACCGUAAGAAUAAGCACCGGCUAACUUCGUGCCAGCAGCCGCGGUAAUACGAAGGGUGCAAGCGUUAAUCGGAAUUACUGGGCGUAAAGCGUGCGUAGGUGGUUUGUUAAGUCUGAUGUGAAAGCCCUGGGCUCAACCUGGGAAUGGCAUUGGAUACUGGCUUACUAGAGUGCGGUAGAGGGAUGCGGAAUUUCCGGUGUAGCGGUGAAAUGCGUAGAGAUCGGAAGGAACAUCUGUGGCGAAGGCGGCAUCCUGGACCAGCACUGACACUGAGGCACGAAAGCGUGGGGAGCAAACAGGAUUAGAUACCCUGGUAGUCCACGCCCUAAACGAUGCGAACUGGACGUUGGUCUCAACUUGGAGAUCAGUGUCGAAGCUAACGCGUUAAGUUCGCCGCCUGGGGAGUACGGUCGCAAGACUGAAACUCAAAGGAAUUGACGGGGGCCCGCACAAGCGGUGGAGUAUGUGGUUUAAUUCGAUGCAACGCGCAGAACCUUACCUGGCCUUGACAUGCACGGAACU
rnacentral:rRNA from 1 species